rnacentral:rRNA from 1 species
UACGGAGGGUGCAAGCGUUAAUCGGAAUUACUGGGCGUAAAGCGUGCGCAGGCGGUUUGUUAAGUCCGUUGUGAAAGCCCCGAGCUCAACUUGGGAAUUGCAGUGGAUACUGGCAGGCUGGAGUACUGUAGAGGCAGGCGGAAUUCCGGGUGUAGCGGUGGAAUGCGUAGAGAUCCGGAAGAACACCGGUGGCGAAGGCGGCCUGCUGGGCAGUUUUGCUGACACUGAGGCGCGACAGCGUGGGGAGCAAACAGG